GACUCAUGCACCUCAUGUACAUAUCCAGUGUGUCUUUCAGGGCAGGGACUGGCAACUUCGCUCUUCUAAGGCUGACCUCUGAACUGAAGGUUAAUCACCUCACCUGACUCAUCCUGUCAAAGUGACAGAAUAUUUCAUCAAAGCUAAGUCAUUCUCUAGAGGGGUCUCGGUCCAGGACUGGCAUGAUGGAGGUGUAGAGGGGCAAUCAGGAAGAAAAACAGUCCCACCCGUGUAGAGGUUCAAGAAGUUCAGUCCCCAGCAUGAUAAGAGCACAACUCCUUCGCUGGCUCAGGAGAGAUGCUGAGGGUACCUAGCCCUCCUGGCAACAAGGCUCCUCCCAUAAGCCCUGCUAUUCGCCAAGAAGUUUAUUUGACAUUUCAUAUUUUCACC